GACGAACGCUGGCGGCGUGCUUAACACAUGCAAGUCGAACGUGAUUUUUAAGGAAAGCCCUUCGGGGUGGGAAUUAAAAUGAAAGUGGCGAACGGGUGAGUAACACGUGAGCAACCUACCUUACACAGGGGGAUAGCCGUUGGAAACGACGAUUAAUACCGCAUGAGACCACAGAAUCGCAUGAUAUAGGGGUCAAAGAUUUAUCGGUGUAAGAAGGGCUCGCGUCUGAUUAGCUAGUUGGAAGGGUAAAGGCCUACCAAGGCGACGAUCAGUAGCCGGUCUGAGAGGAUGAACGGCCACAUUGGAACUGAGACACGGUCCAAACUCCUACGGGAGGCAGCAGUGGGGAAUAUUGCACAAUGGGGGGAACCCUGAUGCAGCGACGCCGCGUGAGCGAAGAAGGUUUUCGAAUCGUAAAGCUCUGUCCUAUGAGAAGAUAAUGACGUAUCAUAG
rnacentral:rRNA from 1 species